AGCUCUGGUACCUCUGUGUGGAAGAGUUACUCACCUGUUCCAUAUAAUAGCAGCAGGAGGCCUUGAAGGAGCUGACUGUGGAAACAAUCUUUUCCACCCUCGUCCUCGUCCGUUACCAUGACUACGUGGAGCUGUUGGCGGAGAUGUAUCUCCUGGCUGACUUCCUGGCUCAGCACCCUGAGGUCCAGCUGGUGGUGAUUGACAGCAUUGCCUUCCUGUUCCACCAUUGCUUUGAUGACUUCUCCCAGAGGACCCGCCUCCGGAACAGCCUCGCCCAGCAGCUCAUCCAGAUGGCCACCAAUCGCAAUGUCGCAGUAUGACCUGACAUUGUCCACCUUGCUGCCUCACCAGACUUUCACUAAUGUCUUCUCCAUCGUCUGUAUUCUUAACCCGUCUUCCUUUUAUCUGGUGAUAACUAUUUUCUAGGCCUGAUAAAACACAUUUAAAGGAGCAACAACAACCAAGAAGAGUCCAGUUAUAACCACAUCCUCCCAUCAUUUAUAGAGCCUAUCUACCUACUCCCUAUUGCAAACUACUAUAAUGUAUAGAGCCAUAACUGAGCCAUCCUUCCAAGCCCAACCAAAACUAUGCUCACCAGACUUGCGUUGUGUCUCUCUGUCUCUACUCAGUAUUUACAACCUCCCAUCUCUGGUCCCAAUCCAACCACGCAUCUAGACUAAGCACUCUCAUUCCAAGAGAUAAAAAGGCUCUUAUUGGUGCAAUGCUGAUUUAAGCGGCCAGGUAGAUUGGGAUCUAAAUGGAAUGGCCGCUCCAUGCCAGGAUGGCGCUGCACAGUUUUUAAUCAGCAAAAGAGUUAUCUUAUGAGCCCUGGAGCAAAUUCACUUUGUUCUAGUAAUUUGUUGGUUGGCGGCACUCAGGGACCCCUUGGAGGACACACAGGAGAAACAACAAAGCCGGUGGACAGAACAACCUGUUCCAAUUUGAGCGGGGGCCCCUAGGGGUCCAUGGAGGUACUGCAGGGGGUCAGCGAUGUUUAGUUUUCCUUUUCCAAUUAUAAUGUGGGGAGGUCAAAAUAAUGAAAUACUGUCUACCAAAUCUUUUCAUUAAAAAAAUGGUCAUUACUUCUCCUUGCCAUUUAUCACUCACCUGAUGAUAAGACAAGGCAUGUGAUUUUUUUUUUUGUGGGCUAAGGUAGGAUGGGGGUCCCUGGGUCGCCGGUUUGCCUGGGAGGGGGUCCCUGGACAAGAAAAGGUUGAAGUCAUACCAGUAAUGAUCCUCUGAUUGUGGAGAACUGGAGUUCUUUUCUGCUGCUCUGCUGUAGAGAGGGAGAGUAUGACUCAUCCUGAUGCAAGCCCACAGGACCUGUCUCUAUGUUUGCUGAGUACAUUCCUACUGUAUGUCUACCAAUACCUAAGUCCACAAAACCUAUUAUUGUGUUACUCGGUUCCCAAGUCCACAUAAUAACCUAGUCUAAAUGCCAUCUCCAAUGUCGUCUCUGUCUGAAAUGACAAUACAGCAUACCGGCUGUAUUGCUGAUGGAUGGAGCAUCAACACAUAGGCAGGAAAUUAUAAACACCACACAAUAAUUUUGGGUCCCCCAGCCUCACAGCUGUAAGGGACAGCAAUUGAAGUGGAAAAAAGAGGGUGCCACUAAUGUUUUGUUAAGGAGGGAUGUGUUUUAUUCAUCACCAAACUCUUCUUUUCUCAGAACAUACCACUGCAUCAAUGAAACUGAAGAGGACUUUUAACCUUUACUUUUUGUCUCAGGGUGAAAUGAUUAACACAAUACAUUUUGCCUGUUGUCUUGUUUUUGUCAUGUUUCUGCGGAAGCCAGUUUCCUUUUGAUGAACUUUCAUUUCCUUCGUUUUUAGGUUGUUCUUACCAAUCAGGUGACUUCAAAGGUUUGGAGCAGCCAAUCAAAGCUUAUUCCUGCCUUAGGUGAGAAGGACUGUUGCGAUGCACUGACUAAAUGCUACAAAUAACAAUAAAAAUCGUACCUCUCCUUAAACUGUACAUCAGUUAUUUAACAGAAAUGGUUAGGGCCAAGUUUUACAGCACAUUUUGCAAUUCAGCCAAUCAUAUACCUCUCCCAAUUUAAACCCAACUAAUUUAACAUACUGUUUCUGCGGAAGCCAAUUUCCUUUAGAAGAGCUUUCAUUUCCUUCAUGUUUAGGUUGUUCUUACCAAUCAGGUGACUACAGAGGUUUGGAGUGGCCAAUCAAAGCUUAUUCCUGCCUUAGAUGAAAAGGACGGCUCCCGAAUGGUGCAGCGUUCAAAGGCACUGCAUCUCAGUGCAAGAGGCGUCACUACAGACCCUGGUUCGAUUCCAGGCUGUA